rnacentral:rRNA from 1 species
UACAGAGGGUGCGAGCGUUAAUCGGAAUUACUGGGCGUAAAGCGCACGUAGGUGGCGACGUAAGUCGGGUGUGAAAUCCCUCGGCCCAACCGAGGAACUGCGCCCGAGACUGCUUCUCUUGAGUCCCGGAGAGGAAGAUGGAAUUCCCGGUGUAGCGGUGAAAUGUGUAGAGAUCGGGAGGAACACCGGUGGCGAAGGCGGUCUUCUGGACGGUGACUGACGCUGAGGCGCGAAAGCGUGGGGAGCAAACGGG